GCCCCUGGCCAUACUUCCCUGAACACUCCCAAUCUUCCCUGAUCUUGGAGCUAAGCAGGGUCAGGCCUGGGUGGUACGUGGAUGGGUAAAGGGAUGACAGCAUGGAAGGAAUGGCUGCAGGGCU
ensembl:rRNA 5S_rRNA 5S ribosomal RNA